rnacentral:rRNA from 1 species
GAUGAACGCUGGCGGCGUGCCUAAUACAUGCAAGUCGAGCGAACAGACGAGGAGCUUGCUCCUCUGACGUUAGCGGCGGACGGGUGAGUAACACGUGGAUAACCUACCUAUAAGACUGGGAUAACUUCGGGAAACCGGAGCUAAUACCGGAUAAUAUAUUGAACCGCAUGGUUCAAUAGUGAAAGACGGUUUUGCUGUCACUUAUAGAUGGAUCCGCGCCGCAUUAGCUAGUUGGUAAGGUAACGGCUUACCAAGGCGACGAUGCGUAGCCGACCUGAGAGGGUGAUCGGCCACACUGGAACUGAGACACGGUCCAGACUCCUACGGGAGGCAGCAGCAGGGAAUCUUCCGCAAUGGGCGAAAGCCUGACGGAGCAACGCCGCGUGAGUGAUGAAGGUCUUCGGAUCGUAAAACUCUGUUAUGAGGGAAGAACAAAUGUGUAAGUAACUAUGCACGUCUUGACGGUACCUAAUCAGAAAGCCACGGCUAACUACGUG